GACGAACGCUGGCGGCGUGCUUAACACAUGCAAGUCACGGGGGUCUCGCAAGAGAGAACCGGCGAACGGGUGCGUAACACGUGAACAACCUGCCGUUGUGAGGGGGAUAGCCGGGCUAACGCCCGGGUAAUACCGCAUACGCUGCCCGAGGGGAGUCCCUUGGGGAGGAAAGCCAUGGCGCAAGCGAUGGCGCACGACGAGGGGUUCGCGGCCUAUCAGCUAGUUGGGGGGGUCACGGCCNCCCAAGGCGACGACGGGUAGCUGGUCUGAGAGGAUGGCCAGCCACAUUGGGACUGAGAGACGGCCCAGACUCCUACGGGAGGCAGCAGUGGGGAAUAUUGCGCAAUGGCCGCAAGGCUGACGCAGCGACGCCGCGUGUGGGAUGACG
rnacentral:rRNA from 1 species